UCAUGGAGGAAUAUUCCAACCCUCCUCCCUUCAGCUCACCUGCCCUUAAAAUAGUACUGCCUCCCUGAGAAACACACAUCGCUGUUAUUAAAAAACUAUUAUUGUUUAACAGUAACUGCAUUGUGAACAGAAAAGGUACAGACGGUACCAGAUGGACCUAAAAUCAAAAUGAUACAAACAGGCACCAAACAGACACACUGAGAAAGCCAGUGUGCUAGUGGGUUACAUAAGGCUGGGGAAGAGGCGGAUGGAUGGGGGGACUGUAAGAGGCUUAUUGUCAUGACGAUAUCUGGAUAAAGAAGGAGCUGUGCGGUUUAACUUUCAAGUGAGUGUGAAGAAUCGAACGUACAGCUGAGGGCUGGUGAGACAAAGUGCAGACAACUAACUGCUGGAGAGCUCAAAGCAUUUGGCUGCUUCUUCCAGAGGGAUGCGUGCAUGAUCGCACCUGCGCGUGAGCGUCUGUGCAGAUUUAACAGCGGGUGAUGAAGAGGGAGCUACUUAAAGAGCAAGCCCCGAAGUGCCCGUAGGAGACCUGAUCAUCAAGGCCGCCAGUGUGGCAGAGGGACCCUGGAGAAAGAACGGCACUGCACACCGCUCCCACUUUGCAAACUUCUCCAGGUGGUGAAAGAGUCCAGACUUGGGCAGGAAGGAGUCUUCUCUCUCCAGAAGUUAAGCUAGCCAUCCAUAACUGUCUGCCCCCAAAGCCACAAGCCAUGCGGCUCAGCGCGGCUCCUUCCCACCAGGUUUAACUGUGGUCCGCUGUGUGCCAAGCCCUGUUCUAGGCCCUGGAGAAGCGGCGGUGACUUAAAGGGACAGAAACUGCUGCCCU
rnacentral:lncRNA from 1 species